rnacentral:rRNA from 1 species
AUUGAACGCUGGCGGCAGGCCUAACACAUGCAAGUCGAACGAGUGGCGGACGGGUGAGUAAUGUCUGGGAAACUGCCUGAUGGAGGGGGAUAACUACUGGAAACGGUAGCUAAUACCGCAUACCAUCGGAUGUGCCCAGAUGGGAUUAGAUUGGUGGUGGGGUAACGGCUCACCAAGGCGACGAUCCCUAGCUGGUCUGAGAGGAUGACCAGCCACACUGUAACUGAGACACGGUCCAGACGCCUACGUGAGGCAGCAGUGGGGAAUAUUGCACAAUGGGCGCAAGCCUGAUGCAGCCAUGCCGCUUGUAUGAAGAAGGCCUUCGGGUUGUAAAGUACUUUCAGCGGGGAGGCGUUACCCGCAGAAGAAGCACCGGCUAACUCCGUGCCAGCAGCCGCGGUAAUAC